rnacentral:rRNA from 1 species
GGCGCACGGGUGCGUAACGCGUAUGCAACCUACCUUUAACUGAGAGAUAGCCCAGGGAAACUUGGAUUAAUAUCUCAUAACAUUAUUUUUCCUCAUGGUUAGAUAAUUAAAGCUUCGGCGGUUAAAGAUGGGCAUGCGUCCUAUUAGUUAGUUGGUGAGGUAACGGCUCACCAAGGCAGCGAUAGGUAGGGGGCCUGAGAGGGUGACCCCCCACACUGGUACUGAGACACGGACCAG